ensembl:lncRNA
CAUGGGAAUAAGCAUGAACAUGAAAUGGGCAUGAGCAUAGAUGUGGGCAUGAGAAGGUGAUAAACAGUGACAUGAGUAACAUGAGUAUGAAAUGGAAAUUGGCAUGGGCAUAUGCAUAGGCAUGGGGAGAUAACGGGCAUGGGCUUGAGGAGAAGAGGGACGUGGAUGUAGGAAGGAGUGGAUGUAGGUAUGGGCAUGGGGAGGGUUAUCAACAUGGAAAUAAACGUGAAUGGGAAAUGGAAAUGGGUGCAGGCAUCGGUGUGGGCAUGGAGAGGUGAUGGAAAUGAGAGUGGGCAGGAGAAUGAAAUGGAAAUGUUCAUGGAGGAGAUGGACAUAGGCAUGGGAAGUAGAUGGAUGUUGGAAUGAGCAUGAGUAUGGGGAAGAGACAGAUGUGGCCAUAGGCACAGGCAUGGUGUGGGGAUGGAAAUGGGCAUGGACAUGAAUAUGACAUGGGCAAUGGGAGUAAAUAGGCAUGGGUGUGGACGUGGACAUAGGAAAGAAAUGGUCAUGGCAGAGACAGGCAUGGGCAUAACAUGGGCAUAGGGAGAGAUGAGCAUGAGAUAGAUAUGGACAUGGUUAUGAAUGUGAAUACGGGAAGGUUGCGAAUGAGGGCAGACCAUGUGAUAGUGAUGCACAGAUCUGGACAUGAGCAUGAGAUGGAAACAGGCAUGGAAAUGGACAGGGAGAUUAUGUGGGCAUAGGAAAAGGAUGGAUAUGGCAUAGGCAUAGCAUUGGCCUACGUGCAUAAGGGAAGGAUUAAUGUGUCAUGAGCAUGAGGGGUGUGGUCAUUGGACACAGCUGGACAUGGAAUUGGCAUGGGAAUGGAAUGGCCAUAGGCAUAGUAUGUGGAGGGAAUGAGCAUGUUCAGGAGCAUGAGAUGAAAACAGCAUGGGAAAGGAAUGGACAAAGACACAGGGAGGGUGUAGGCAUGAGCGUAAGAUUGGACAUGGGUAUGGACAUGGUGGUGAGAUGAGAUGGGUGUGGAUGUGAGUGUGAACAUGGGUAUUUGAAGGUAACAGAGAAAGUAGAGGAUGGGAAUGCAGUUGGGCAGGGGAUGGGUCCAAGUUGGGCUUGUGGAUAGGUUGAGUGUAUGCAUAAGGUGGGCAUGGGGAUGUGACAGGCCUCAGCAUGGAAUGGGAUAGAGAUGAGGUUAAGGACAGGGGUGGGAUGGAGAUCCACCUGAAGCGGUGCUGCUGUGCCCUGACUCUGGUGACCCUCCCUCUGCCUUCCCAGGGUCAGGAUAGGAGAGAAUACUUCUUGAUCCACUAUAUAUGACAAAAUGGCCACAAACAACUGUAAUACAAUACAUCUUCUGUACAACAGGCUCCCCACUUUAGAUACUGAAAGGCCACUCAAGUCUUCCCAGAACCUUCUCUUCUCCAGGCUGAACAGCUCCGAUAAUAAUUGAACUGUGAAGGUUUUCAGAUGUAUUCAAGCUAUCUAUCAACACUGACUAUCUACAGCCUCACAAAAUGCAAACCCAGGUGAGCUGCUAAGAAGAGGGUGAAGUGUAAAGCAUCUACUUUCAUCUGUUUUUAAGUCCUCCUUUUUCUUUGGGUAGCACUGUGGGUCAUGGAUACAUCAAUAAGAUGGAGGUAGUAUUUGCAUCAUAUGUUUUCCCAUGGAUCCUUUUUGUUUCAUUUAAAGUCUGUAUAACAUCUU